UGGGGAAUAUUGCACAAUGGGCGCAAGCCUGAUCCAGCCAUGCCGCGUGUAUGAAGAAGGCCUUCGGGUUGUAAAGUACUUUCAGUCGGGAGGAAGGUGGUAAGGUUAAUAACCUUAUCAAUUGACGUUACCGACAGAAGAAGCACCGGCUAACUCCGUGCCAGCAGCCGCGGUAAUACGGAGGGUGCAAGCGUUAAUCGGAAUUACUGGGCGUAAAGCGCACGCAGGCGGUUGAUUGAGUCAGAUGUGAAAUCCCCGGGCUUAACCCGGGAAUUGCAUCUGAUACUGGUCAGCUAGAGUCUUGUAGAGGGGGGUAGAAUUCCAUGUGUAGCGGUGAAAUGCGUAGAGAUGUGGAGGAAUACCGGUGGCGAAGGCGGCCCCCUGGACAAAGACUGACGCUGAGGUGCGAAAGCGUGGGGAGCAAACAGG
rnacentral:rRNA from 1 species